rnacentral:rRNA from 1 species
UACGUAGGAGGCGAGCGUUGUCCGGAAUCACUGGGUGUAAAGCGCGUGUAGGCGGCCUGCCAAGUCUGCUGUGAAAGCGCCUGGCUUAACCGGGCGAGGUCGGUGGAAACUGGCGGGCUGGAGGACGGUAGAGGGGGGUGGAACUCCCGGUGUAGUGGUGAAAUGCGUAGAGAUCGGGAGGAACACCAGUGGCGAAGGCGGCCCCCUGGGCCGUUCCUGACGCUGAGACGCGAAGGCGCGGGGAGCGAACGGG